rnacentral:rRNA from 1 species
CCUACGGGAGGCAGCAGUGAGGAAUAUUGGUCAAUGGGCUUACGCCUGAACCAGCCAAGUCGCGUGAGGGAAGACUGCCCUAUGGGUUGUAAACCUCUUUUGUCAGGGAGCAAUUGGCGCUACGUGUAGCGUUAUCGAGAGUACCUGAAGAAAAAGCAUCGGCUAACUCCGUGCCAGCAGCCGCGGUAAUACGGAGGAUGCGAGCGUUAUCCGGAUUUAUUGGGUUUAAAGGGUGCGCAGGCGGAGGUGCAAGUCAGCGGUCAAAUUGCGGGGCUCAACCCCGUACUGCCGUUGAAACUGCAUCCCUUGAGUGCGCGAGAAGUAUGCGGAAUGCGUGGUGUAGCGGUGAAAUGCAUAGAUAUCACGCAGAACUCCGAUUGCGAAGGCAGCAUACCGGCGCGCAACUGACACUGAGGCUCGAAAGUGUGGGUAUCAAACAGGAUUAGAUACCCCAGUAGUC